AUUAUAGUACAACAGUGCAGUUUUCCGGGACUAGUCGUAUUUUCAUGAUAUAGCUUACAUUAGGAUUUUCACCUUGAACUAGGCAGUGAUAAGGGGCGUUUUAUCAAACAACUAAAAACAAAUGUCAGCCUAUCAUCGCCAAAUGCAGGUUUAGUGGACAUAAGAGGAGCGAAUUAAGUUUGAAAGCUGCAUCGACGGUUUGAAAAAUGUCUGCCACACGAGUUCUGGUAGCCAUGGAUGGCAGUGAAAAUUCCGCUAUGGCGUUGAAAUAUUACGUGGAGAGCAUUCACAAGCCAGGGAACUAUGUGAUACUGGCUCACUGUGCAGAGUACCUGAACCUUAACUAUGGAAUGGUUUCGUUGUCCCAGGCAGACCCUUCUGUAGUGGAGAGAACGAUAAACGAGGAGGAAAAACGAAUCCACACCCUCAUUGAGCAUUUGAACAAUAUUCUAAAAACUCACAAUGUAAGUCACCCCCUUUUUCAACUUCAUAUGAUUUUCAAAAAUAUGUUUUAUUAUUCAGUUACAUGUACCUAUUCACUAGUAUUUAGAUAACGGUACAUGUAACCGUCAGUCUUUUCUUCAUAGAAUUUUAGCCAAAGACAUUAUUUUACAUAUAUUAGAAGGAAAAAGGGAAGUUAAGGUGGUUAAUGAUACCAUGUAUACCAAGUGUUCCUGAAAUAUCAUUAGGAAAGAGACAACCUUCGUUUCAGAUGACGGGAGAAGUAGUCAGGAUACAGGGAGGUGAUCCGGGUCACCAGAUUGUGGAAAAAACCAAGGAGAUGAACGUGGAUUUCCUAGUAACCGGGUCACGUGGUCUGGGGAAGCUCCGGCGGACGUUGAUGGGGAGUGUCAGUGAUUACCUGGUUCAUCACGCCCACAUCCCUGUCAUGGUGUACAAACACACGGACAAGGAGCACGACAUACACCAGUGAACAAACCGUGGGUGUGUCUGUGUGUGUGCUAGUGUGUGUAUGUGUGAAUCAGAGUGUAAUAAGUGUGUAUAAAGUACUGUGUAAAGUGCGUAGUAUUUGACUGCUGUCUUCCAGAGUUCCAAGUGGUUGUGAUGUUAAAUUAUCCAAAAUUGAAAACACAUGCUUAUAUCAUUGUUAGAUGCAAGAUAAGCCAAUAAAAAAUGAUAAAA
rnacentral:misc_RNA from 1 species